CCUGAGAAGCUCCGUGGCAGCGUCCAAUAUAUCCCAAUACUGAAAGUAUUUAAAUGGUUAAUGAUCAAGUAACUGAAUACCAACUGCCUUAUUAAACCUCACACCACCACCAGCUAUUAUGUCAAAGAAUAGAAGGGAUUGUACCUCUUGGUAAAUAGGGAUCUGAAGAAUUCUGUUUUUUUGGGGGUUUUUUUCCUUCUUCAAAUUGCCAUCAUUCUGCUUGUGCAGCCACAGAG